GCAAGUCGAACGGAAACGAUGGAAGCUUGCUUCCAGGCGUCGAGUGGCGGACGGGUGAGUAACGCGUAGGAAUCUGCCCAAAAGUGGGGGACAACCUGGUGAAAACCAGGCUAAUACCGCAUACGGUCUACGGACUAAAGAUGGCCUCUCUUUGAAGCUAUCGCUUUUGGAUGAGCCUGCGUUAGAUUAGCUUGUUGGUGGGGUAAUGGCCUACCAAGGCAACGAUCUAUAGCUGGUUUUAGAGGAUGAUC
rnacentral:rRNA from 1 species